AGAUCAUAACAAUGAGUACUCAUGAAACCUGCAAUCCUGGAGCUCUCUGCAUCGCUUGUAUGCAGCUCAACAGGCCCCAGAGAUCUCCUCACUACAAUGAAGCUGGUAUGAGGCUUCUCCUUCACCAGGUACAGAGUGGGACUGGAGACCGGAAGCAGCGGGGACUCCCGCUAGGAUGUGUGUGGUGGUACUGAGAAGCUGCUCGGUGCUGGCAAUGGCUUCCCUACUGGGUUACCACGAGCUGCACCUUAGCAGAGAUGCGCGUCCCUCAGCGGCCUAUUUGUUUCCUGCUUUGCUUUGAUAAGUGGUAUCUGCGAUGACAGCGAGAGCACACAUAUAUCUAACUUUAAAAAGAUUCGAUUCUGCCCAUUAUGAUUUCCUCGCUGCUGGUAUUUUGAUGAAGAGGGAGACAGACAGUAACGCUUCCCCGGUAAGUGCUUAUGUAAGGCAGAACCAGGGAGUUUUCUAAGAUAAAGUCAUCUCUCCCUAGGUAGUUUUCUCUUUUGCCUCCUGUCUUACCUUGAACGGAGGUCUUUCGAAAUACAGAUGCACCUCGUCUGAAAUGAUAAUUCACUUCCCAGACUCAAAGCUUUAAAACUCCCUCUCUUUCAGAGAAAGAAACGGA
rnacentral:lncRNA from 1 species